UGAAAGGAACGAAUGACGUGUGAGCGCCACCAGGCGUUUCCGGGUUUGAGAAUAUUUCCGGUUGAUACAAGUGCGCAAUAUGUUUAUAGUUAGUCGGCGUUUCAUUCCGUCGCUAUUUAUUUAUUUUUAAUCGUAAUCGUACUGUAAUAAUAUUGUUUUUUGUUUUUUAAACCGUUUUGUUCGCUAAACUUUGGCUGAAGGUGGUGGUGAGGUCUCGCUGCUAUCUCGGAGCUGGCUGCUAGUCAUGUAGCGCGCUAGCAAGCUGUCAAACUAAUGUUUACUGCGUUGAUUAAAGACGAGACAUCUCGGGGUUCUUCUUGCGCGUUUAUAAGUUUGCGGUGGGGUUUUUUUUUGCGCCGUAACCGUACAGACUUUGAUACCGUGGGAUGUGAACAAGCAGUGGCCAUUUUAUUACUGCGUGACAGCUCAAAGUAAAAGCCCAUGUCCGCAUCAAAAUGGCUGCCUCGGGUUUGUUGUUCUUUUUUUUGGCAGCGCGUGUGUCCAGGUGGACAGUGAAUACUGACUGGUGUCUGCUGAAGUGGCACAUAAACACACAAACUGUGUCGUGUAAAUGUUUACCAAUGUCGUGUGCUUUUUAAAGACAGUAAUCUCAAAGACAGUUUUCAUCAGUUGACUUUAUUUUACAAAGCAGCAGCAACAAUCCAACUAUUGGAUCAACCCAUCUCUGGUUUGAAGGGAUCCUCUGAUGUAAGCAAAUGGCAUGCAAUGUUUUCAUCAGUUUUUCUUCUUUCCUUUCUUCCUUUCUUUUCUUUUUUGAUAAGAUGAAUGUUCCAUUGGACAUCACUUGAACAUAUGGCUCUAUAGUGGCAUUAAAUGUCAUGUAAUAUCCAGUAAAAAAAAAAAAAAAAAAACAUGACACAGUGACAUGAAUUUAUCUUUCUUCACCUGGUUACCCAGUCUCUUCAUGUACAAUAUUCAUUUUUGACAAUGUUUUCUAAGGUGGCUAUCAUCAAACUUAUUAAGAAAAUUACUAUACUGUAAUUAUGGCUGAAAUUUUACAAAGAGAAUAAAACAACAACUUUAAAGUUUUAAACAUGUCUGCAAGACCAUUGUGUUCUCUCUGUAUUUACAGCUUCUAUUUCCCUUGUGAUUUCCUCUACUUCUCCAUCUGUUAUUCUUCCUUUCAUGUCCUCAUUCUCUCUAUACGUUUUUCCUUCAUCUGCUCUCCCUCUCUGUCCUUUUUUCAUUCUUUCUCUUACCUAUACCAUCCUCCCACUCCUUUUACACUCUCCUUUACACUUUUCACUCCCUUGCCUGCCCACUCACUUAUUCUUUCUUCCUUAAUC